rnacentral:rRNA from 1 species
UACGUAGGGGGCAAGCGUUGUCCGGAUUUACUGGGUGUAAAGGGCGCGCAGGCGGAAUAACAAGUCAGAGGUGAAAUCCUACAGCUUAACUGUAGAACUGCCUUUGAUACUGUUAUUCUUGAGUUCGGAAGAGAGAGACGGAAUUCCAGGUGUAGUGGUGAAAUACGUAGAUAUCUGGAAGAACACCAGUUGCGAAGGCGGUCUCUUGGUCCGAUACUGACGCUGAGGCGCGAAAGCGUGGGGAGCAAACAGG